AGGAGCUUGCUCCUGUGACGCGAGUGGCGGACGGGUGAGUAACACGUAGGCAACCUGCCCAUCAGACCGGGAUAACCACGGGAAACCGUGGCUAAUACCGGAUAAUCCUUUUCCACACAGGUGGGAAAGUUGAAAGGCGGUCUUUUGGCUGUCACUGAUGGAUGGGCCUGCGGCGCAUUAGCUUGUUGGUGGGGUAACGGCCCACCAAGGCGACGAUGCGUAGCCGACCUGAGAGGGUGAUCGGCCACACUGGGACUGAGACACGGCCCAAACUCCUACGGGAGGCAGCAGUAGGGAAUCUUCCGCAAUGGACGAAAGUCUGACGGACCAACGCCGCGUGAGUGAAGAAGGGUUUCGGCUCGUAAAACUCUGUUGUCAGGGAAGAACGCCGACGGGAGUAACUGCCCGUCGGGUGACGGUACCUGACCAGAAAGCCACGGCUAACUACGUGCCAGCAGCCGCGGUAAUACGUAGGUGGCAAGCGUUAUCCGGAAUUAUUGGGCGUAAAGCGCGCGUAGGCGGUUCGUUAAGUUCUGAUGGAAAGCCCCAGGCUCACCGGGGAAGCGUCGAUGGGACACUGGCGGACUUGAGUGCAGAAGAGGAGAGUGGAAUUCCAUGUGUAGCGGUGAAAUGCGCAGAGAUAUGGAGGAACACCAGUGCCGAAGGCGACUCUCUGGUCUGCAACUGACGCUGAGGUGCGAAAGCGUGGGGAUCAAACAGGAUUAGAUACCGUACAAGUCCACUCCGUAAACGAUGAGUGGUUAGUUUUAGAGUGUUUCAUCUCCUUAGUGCUGCAGCUAAAGCAUUAAGCAUUCCGCCUGGGGAGUUCGGCCGCUAGGUUGAAACUCAAAGCAAUCGACGGGGACCCGCACAAGCGGUGGAGCAUGUGGUUUAAUUNGAAGCAACGUGAAGAACCUUCCCAAAUCGGCACAUCCUCUGCCCACCCUGGAGACAGGGUUUCCCUUCGGGGCAGAGUGACAGGGGGUGCAUGGUUGUCGUCAGCUCGUGUCGGGAGAUGUUGGGUUAAGUCCUGCAACGAGCGCAACCCUUAUCAUUAGUUGCCAGCAUUCAGUUGGGCAUUCUAAUGAGACUGCCGGGGACAAACCGGAGGAAGGUGGGGAUGACGUCAAAUCAUCAUCCCCCUUAUCAUUUGGGCUACACACGUGUCACAAUGGACAGGUUACAAAGGGCAGCUAACCCCCGAGGCCAAGCGAAUCCCAUAAAACUGUUCUCAGUUCGGAGUUGACUCUGCAACUCGACUCCAUGAACCUGGAAACGAUCGUAAUCGAGGAUCAGAACGCCACGGUGAAUACGUUUCCGGCUGUCGUACACACCGCCUGUCUCUCCACGAGAGUCGGUAACACCCAAACCCGUGGGCCCA
rnacentral:rRNA from 1 species